rnacentral:rRNA from 1 species
GACGAACGCUGGCGGCGUGCUUAACACAUGCAAGUCGAACGGAAAGGCCCUGCUUUUGUGGGGUGCUCGAGUGGCGAACGGGUGAGUAACACGUGAGUAACCUGCCCUUGACUUUGGGAUAACUUCAGGAAACUGGGGCUAAUACCGGAUAGGAGCUCCUGCUGCAUGGUGGGGGUUGGAAAGUUUCGGCGGUUGGGGAUGGACUCGCGGCUUAUCAGCUUGUUGGUGUGGUAGUGGCUUACCAAGGCUUUGACGGGUAGCCGGCCUGAGAGGGUGACCGGCCACAUUGGGACUGGGAUACGGCCCAGACUCCUACGGGAGGCAGCAGUGGGGAAUAUUGCACAAUGGGCGGAGGCCUGAUGCAGCAACGCCGCGUGCGGGAUGACGGCCUUCGGGUAGUAAACCGCUUUCGCCUGUGACGAAGCGUGAGUGACGGUAAUGGGUAAAGAAGCACCGGCUAACUACGU